rnacentral:tRNA from 1 species
GGGGAUGUGGCGGAAUCGGUAGACGCAUUGGACUUAAAAUCCAAUGAAGGUAACUUCGUGAGGGUUCAAGUCCCUCCAUCCCCACCA